CUUAUAACUUCUUUGGUUUUUGCAGCUGUUAUUCAUGGAGUGGUUUGAUGGAGUUUCUUUGGUCGCAGCUUUGGAUUUGGUUGUUUCACAGUGUGAGGUUUUUGCAACUGGAGCUAUUUGUGCUGUUACAAUUACUUACUUCUAUUAUUGGUUAUGGCUAUUCAGUCCAACAGAAUUGCCAUUCCAUUUCGACCUCUUUUAGGUCAAAUGGUUGAUUUUUCUGAACCUGUUUAUGAUUUCAUAGACAAGGCUAGGAACAAUGCCUGUGUUCGUGUUAAGACUGAGAAUGGCAAAUCUGAAUUUGUGUUCUUUGGUGGGGAAGCCAAUGCAGUUCAUGAGUCACAAGAAAGGGCAGCUCAAAAAGCUGUGCAGAAAUUGAUGAGCCAUUUUGGGGUGCGAGUGAGUGAUUUUACCUCUGAUAGAGCAAGAAUGUAUCAGCUAUGCAGCAAGCUUUAUAAACAUAAGGUUGCUGAGUUAUGUUCUGAGAAAGGAUUAGAAGUGCCUAGCUAAUUCACAGAGCAAUUUAGGCAAGAAAUCUUCUGAUGAAGUUCUUCAUGUAACGAUUGACUUUGUAGGUUUCUUAGGUGUUAUUGUUACACAAACAGGUGCAGAUGUAAGUCCAUUAGAGACUAUUUGGGUGAAAGGCUUGGGCUUUGUAGCUUGGUUAACAGUGACUUGUCUGCAUAGUAGAGGUGAAUUGGAGUGCAUAUAUAGUGAUGCUUGUCCUGAAAUAAAUAGUGCUAUGCAGAAGGCUGCUAAGAGAGCUAUACAUUACUU